rnacentral:rRNA from 1 species
CCUAGCUGUGUUGGCUUUCUAACCCGCACCACUUAUCGUGGUGGGAGACAGUGUCAGGCGGGCAGUUUGACUGGGGCGGUCGCCCCCUAAAAGGUAACGGAGGCGCUCAAAGGUUCCCUCAGAAUGGUUGGAAAUCAUUCAUAGAGUGUAAAGGCAUAAGGGAGCUUGACUGCGAGACCUACAAGUCGAGCAGGGUCGAAAGACGGACUUAG